AGUGAACGCUGGCGGUAGGCCUAACACAUGCAAGUCGAACGGCAGCACAGUAAGAGCUUGCUCUUACGGGUGCCCAGUGGCGUACGGGUGAUGUAUACUUCGCCAUCUACUUUUUCGUCGGUGCUAACGUAGGUUAACUUCCGCUUAUACCUCAUACGACCUUCCGCUGUAAGCAGAGGAUCUUCCGACCUUGCGUGUUUGUUUGUGCCGAUGUCGGAUUAGCUAGUUGGCGGGGUAAAGGCCCACCAAGGCGAGGAUCCGUAGCUGGUCUGAGAGGAUGAGCAGCCACACUGGAACUGAGACACGGUCCAGACUACUACGGGAGGGAGCAGUGGGGAAUAUUGGACAAGGGGCGCAAGCCUGAUCCAGCCAUACCGCGUGGGUGAAGAAGGGCUUCGGGUUGUAAAGGCAAUUUGUUGGGAAAGAAAAGCAGCAGGUUAAAACAGCGGUGUGCUGACGGUACCAAAAGAAUAAGCACCGGCUAACUUCGUG
rnacentral:rRNA from 1 species